rnacentral:lncRNA from 1 species
GUUGUGUAUUGCGGGUCUGCGCCCGUGUUGUGUAUUGAGGGUCUCGCCACCGUGUAGUGCGGGAUUACGGGACAUCGCGCGUGUAGUGUAUUACGGGACUCGCCCCGUGUUGUGUAUUGAGGGUCUCGCCCCGUGUAGUGUAUUGAGGGUCUCGCCCCGUGUUGUGUAUUACGGGCCUCACCCCGUGUUGUGUAUUGAGGGUCUCGUCCCGUGUUGUGUAUUACGGGUCUCGCCCCCUGCAGUGUAUUACGGGUCUCACCCCCUGCAGUGUAUUACGGGUCUCGCCCCCUGUAGUGUAUUACGGGUCUCGCCCAGUGUAUUUAUUAGAGGUUUAACCUCGCUCUUUUGUUUGGGUUACAUCCCUGUGUUUUUGUAUAAGUGUUUGUUUUGGGCUUCAUCCCCGUGCCCUUCAUGGCAUGUUUGUAUUUUGGGUGGAGUAUUAAAACCCCCUAUUACGUAUUCCUGCGCCUGUCUCCCAUCAUUUAUACAAUGUGACAUCUGGUAGCAUUCUAUCAGGACAAUUUAAUGCUUGUAAGGAUUUGGGUUACAGUAUGCAAGUCAAGUGGAGGAUACAAGUACUGUAUUUCCAGGGAGGGGGACAAAAGCUUUGCAGACCCCUCUAGUAAGCAUUGGGGAACAACAUAAAGCCUUUGUCAGUGCUCAGUGCGUGGGAGCAGGGACAGCCAUGAAUGUGUGUUGAUGCUAUCAGAGUGUACAAACCAGUGUAAUAUAAUAAAGGGUAAUUGUGUUGUUGCAUUCUGUACAUGCUUGUGUUAAUUACAUUAAACCAAGGUCCAUUUCCCGCAGAUGAAAAUCUAUGGAAAAUGACCUUGUCAGUACUUGAUAUAUCGUCUUGCUUACAGUGGAGUAUUGACACGCAUAGCCUUAUGUUCAGCUACUAUAAAUAAACAGUAUACAGUAUAGAAAAAAGGGUGUUAUCUAGAACCUAAAAGGGUUCUUUGGCUAUCCCCCAUAGGAGAACCUUUUUGAUGAACUAGUUUUGGUUCCAUAUAGAACCCUUUUCACAGAUGGUUCUACCUGGAACCAAAAAUAAGUAUCGUCUGGGGACAGCUUGACACCUUAAUAAGCUCAUUUCCUGAUGGCGGCUGACCACUCGUAGUACUUCAACCUCCCGAAGUCUGCCUUUGAUUCAUUUCGUUCCAACUCUCACUUUCCCCUCCUUUGCCUUCACCCUUUCCCAGUCCCCUCACACUCACAAGGCAGGCAAUAUGCUUGAUCUCAUCUUUACUAGAAGCUGCUCGCCUACUAAUUUCAUUGCAACCACCCUUCAGGUCUCUGAUCACGACUUUGUUUCUGUUUCCUUUUCGACCUCCACUACUCAUUCACUCAGCCUAUUGAUUCGACUGGUCUCACUCAUACAGAACUACCCUUCGCCUUGACCUCUUUCUCCCCUUUCUCUCCAGAUGAUAUCCUGUGAUUAGUGAGGUCUGGCUGCCUAACAACUUGCCCGCUCGACUCCAUCCCCUCCUCCCUUCUCCAGACCAUCUCUGGAGACUUUCUCUCAUUUCUCAGUUCCCUCAUCAACUCAUCCCUGACCACUGGCAGACCUCUGACUUCAAAAUGGCCCGAGGCGUUCCCCUCCUCAAGAAACCAACAGUUGACUAAACUGACGUCAAAAACUAGAGACCUGUAUCCAUUUCUUUUCUUUUCAAAACUCUUGAGCGUGCUGUCUCUGAUCAACUCUCUCGCUAUCUCUCUCAGAAUGAUCUUCUUGACCCUAACCAGUCAGGCUUCAAGACGGCUCACUCAACAGAGACCGCUCUUCUCUGUAUCACAGAGGCUCUCCACACGGGCAAAGCUGACUCUCUCCUCUCUUCUCAUCCUCCUAGAUCUAUCCGCUGCCUUCAACACUAUGGCACUUCUAUGCUCGCUUCAAGG